rnacentral:rRNA from 1 species
CUGGCGGCGUGCUUAACACAUGCAAGUCGAACGGUAAGGCCCCAGCUUGCUGGGGUACACGAGUGGCGAACGGGUGAGUAACACGUGGGUGACCUACCCUGCACUUCGGGAUAAGCCUGGGAAACUGGGUCUAAUACCGGAUAGGACUACGCCGUCAAGGGUGUGGUGGAAAGUUUUUCGGUGCAGGAUGGGCCCGCGGCCUAUCAGCUUGUUGGUGGGGUAAUGGCCUACCAAGGCGGCGACGGGUAGCCGGCCUGAGAGGGUGGACGGCCACAUUGGGACUGAGACACGGCCCAGACUCCUACGGGAGGCAGCAGUGGGGAAUAUUGCACAAUGGGCGGAAGCCUGAUGCAGCGACGCCGCGUGGGGGAUGACGGCCUUCGGGUUGUAAACUCCUUUCACCAUCGACGAAGGUUUUCUGACGGUAGAUGGAGAAGAAGCACCGGCUAACUACGUGCCAGCAGCCGCGGUAAUACGUAGGGUGCGAGCGUUGUCCGGAAUUACUGGGCGUAAAGAGCUCGUAGGUGGUUUGUCGCGUCGUCUGUGAAAUUCCGGGGCUUAACUCCGGGCGUGCAGGCGAUACGGGCAUAACUUGAGUACUGUAGGGGAGACUGGAAUUCCUGGUGUAGCGGUGAAAUGCGCAGAUAUCAGGAGGAACACCGGUGGCGAAGGCGGGUCUCUGGGCAGUAACUGACGCUGAGGAGCGAAAGCAUGGGUAGCGAACAGGAUUAGAUACCCUGGUAGUCCAUGCCGUAAACGGUGGGCGCUAGGUGUAGGGGUCUUCCACGACUUCUGUGCCGUAGCUAACGCAUUAAGCGCCCCGCCUGGGGAGUACGGCCCCAAGGCUAAAACUCAAAUGAAUUGACGG